GAAAAGUUGGUCCAUAGGAUUAAGAAUAAUUCAAUCCAUAGCCUUUUUUAGAUGGACAAAAUAUUUAUUUGCACAAAACCCGGAUUAGAAUUGAGAUUGUUUAUUAUGCAGUUUACAUUGAGCACUGUGCAAUUAACAUAAAUAAAUUUAAACAGAUGUCACCAAAAUCAUUUUGUAUUCCUAAACUAACGAAGGUCAAAACCAAUUCUCAUCAUUGGUGUACAUCAUUCCAAUUUUACAAACCACUCAGAUUUCAAAAUCAGUUUAGUCUAAAGCAGAAAACAUAGUUCCAACACAAUAUAUUGUUUAGUCUGAAAACUUCAGGGCAUGUUCAUCAUUGACCCUAGUUACAUGAGUUACUAAAUUAUACGUACUAUAUCAUCAGGUGUGGACUUGAGGUUUGGCAUCAACUACUGGUAUGUAUUUUCCAAUCCUCUAGACUCAUUACUUUGUUUAUUUUCUGCUUAAAGGUGAGUUGCUUGUAAAAUAGUUUAUCGUUCAACCCAUUUUUAGAAAGCAAGACCUGAUGUAGAAAGCAAGAUUUCACAACAGUCUAGACCCGAGGUGAAAGGAUGUGGACUUACGACAUCAUGUCACUUUACAUCGGUUGCCACCUGAUGUAAAAACUCGUUUCCAACUGAUGUAAAAACUCCGUUCUGUAGUAGUGAGCAUGAAUAAUAAAUUUGAGGUUAAAAACCUAUUGUAGAGGCAAAAACUUCAAAUUAUAAUUUCAAAAUAGAAUCAAUUCUCCAAAACCAAUGUUGCCUACUCCGUGGAACCAAACUUACACUUAUAUACUUAUAUUCUUGGUCUAAAUUUAUGCUACUAACACAACUACUAUACUUUGUUUCCAAGGAACUUGUUAAUUUCAUAGGGAUUUGUUUCCAAUUUGUGAAUCCUAUUGUUAUAUGUAAAUAUCCUAUGUCUUAUUAAUGAUUAUUGCAGGCCUUGUUUUUGUUUAUGUUUCAUUUCAACCAUCUGAUCAGGUGUGAAAAGUUCUUUAGAUACUUAGCAUGGGGUGCAUUUCUUCAAAACUUAUUAUAGCCAGAUCAAUCAGUUACCAUGAAGAGAGAAAUCAAAGAUCAAUGAGAAAAGCUAAUGGCAUUCCAUUGCUGGAAGAUCUAAUCAUCUCCACUAGUGACCAGUACCUUGCUCUUGUCUGCACAACAAACCACAAAUCCAAUAAACUGCAUUCUAAGAGCUUAAAUUCAAACACCAUUUCAAAACUGGCUAUUGAACCUGAAAGUUCUGAAGUUAUUGAUGAAAAGGUGGAACCAUCAACAACAUUAAGUGAAAUACAAGGAGGGAAAGAAUUUGAGAAUGAUCACAAGAACAGGUCCAAAAGUUGGCAUUUUCCUGAGCAUAUUGUUGACUCUCUUAGUCAGGAGAAUCUAUCUGGUAUUGAAGAUAAAGAUGAGUUGAGAUCUAAGAGUGAUUUAGGUGGUAGGAGUUUUCAUACAGUUGAGGAAUAUGAUGAUAUUGUUAAUAGGAUUUGGUUGAAUAAGUCACAAAUUGAUCAACAAAGUGAGUUUAAUAAUGAAGAUGAAGAUGAUGUCUCAGUAAUCAAAAUGGACCUUCAGGGAAUUUGAACUUCGUACCUUGAAGUUAACAAGGUAAAGCUAUUAUCACGGAGCUGACAAUUCAUGGACAGGAUAAGGAUUCUUCCAUCAAGAAAAUGCAACCAGUAGGCUUAAACAAGAAGAAUGAGGAAAGGGUUCCAAGUCAUAAAACAAAAAUGCUUGAGAAGGGAAAUAAGAGAAAGGCUAUAGCAAAUAGACUAGAGUCCCUUAGAGUUCCAUCCAAUGUUGAAUCUUCAGCCAUUACUAGUCUUAAAGAAUGGCUUCCUGCAGAUGGAAUAUACUCUCCUGGAUCUUAUGUCACACCAAAAUUUGGAAGCUAUUCUUCGAUGAACAUUAGGAAUGCAAAUGAAUCUUGUGAGGAUUCUAUAUUUAGCCCAGAGUUGGUAUCUGCCUUUGAACAGUGUAUGCAAAAGCUUGAAGCAGAGGAAGAAAACAUUCUGAAACAAAUUCUAGAGAAUGUGGAAGAAGAAAUUGAUGAAGGAAUGCAGAACUAAGACCUUUAGUACUCUACCAUAUGCAUAAAAGGUCAAACUCAUACUUUUUUGGUGAUUUUGUUAGCAACAGAUGAAUGUUAGAGAAAAUUUAUUUCAUAUCUUCAGUGUUUGUAUGUGAAUUUGCAGUGCACAUUUUCCUUUUAGGUGGGUUUUUCUUUUUGUUUGGAAUUGAUUAAAUAAAAAAAGUUGAUUAUUCUUAAUA